rnacentral:rRNA from 1 species
GACGAACCGUGCGAACGUUGUUCGGAUUCAUUGGGCGUAAAGGGUGCGUAGGCGGCGCGGUAAGUCGGGUGUGAAAUCUCGGAGCUUAACUCCGAAACUGCAUUCGAUACUGCCGUGCUUGAGGACUGGAGAGGAGACUGGAAUUUACGGUGUAGCGGUGAAAUGCGUAGAUAUCGUAAGGAAGACCAGUGGCGAAGGCGGGUCUCUGGACAG